CCCGCUCAGACAACUCAAAGGAAUUGACGGGGGCCCGCACAAGCGGAGGAGCAUGUGGUUAAUUCGAUGAUACGCGAGGAACCUUACCUGGGCUCGAACGUAAGAUGACUGUAGGUGAAGGCUUACAUCUCUUCGGAGCAUUUUACGAGGUGCUGCAUGGUUGUCGUCAGCUCGUGCCGUGAGGUGUCGGGUUAAGUCCCAUAACGAGCGCAACCCCUACCUUUAGUUGCCAUCAGGUUAAGCUGGGGACUCUAAAGGAACUGCCUACGCAAGUAGUGAGGAAGGCGGGGAUGACGUCAAAUCAGCACGGCCCUUACGUCCAGGGCUACACACGUGCUACAAUGGCCGAUACAGAGGGCAGCUACCUGGUGACAGGAUGCAAAUCUCCAAAGUCGGUCUCAGUUCGGAUCGGAGUCUGCAACCCGACUCCGUGAAGUUGGAUUCGCUAGUAAUCGCGCAUCAGCCAUGGCGCGGUGAAUACGUUCCCGGGCCUU
rnacentral:rRNA from 1 species